rnacentral:rRNA from 1 species
CACGUAGGGUGCAGGCGUUGUCCGGAAUUAUUGGGCGUAAAGGGCUCGUAGGCGGUCCGUCACGUCGGGAGUGAAAACUCGGGGCUCAACCCCGAGCCUGCUUUCGAUACGGGCGGACUAGAGGUAGGUAGGGGAGAACGGAAUUCCUGGUGUAGCGGUGGAAUGCGCAGAUAUCAGGAGGAACACCGGUGGCGAAGGCGGUUCUCUGGGCCUUACCUGACGCUGAGGAGCGAAAGCGUGGGGAGCGAACAGG